rnacentral:rRNA from 2 species
UACGUAGGGUGCGAGCGUUAAUCGGAAUUACUGGGCGUAAAGCGUGCGCAGGCGGUUUGCUAAGACCGAUGUGAAAUCCCCGGGCUCAACCUGGGAACUGCAUUGGUGACUGGCAGGCUAGAGUAUGGCAGAGGGGGGUAGAAUUCCACGUGUAGCAGUGAAAUGCGUAGAGAUGUGGAGGAAUACCGAUGGCGAAGGCAGCCCCCUGGGCCAAUACUGACGCUCAUGCACGAAAGCGUGGGGAGCAAACAGGAUUAGAUACCCCCGUAGUCC